GCCUUCGUGGUGUAGUGGUCAGCACGCUCGACGCGUAUUCGAGAGGUCCGUGGUUCAAUUCCCGGCGAAGGCG
rnacentral:tRNA from 1 species